ensembl:lncRNA
GCAGGGUAGCCUAGUGGUUAGAGUGUAGAGGUGGCAGGGUAGCCUAGUGGUUAGAGUGUAGAGGAGGCAGGGUAGCCUAGUGGUUAGAGUGUAGAGGCAGCAGGGUAGCCUAGUGGUUAGAGUGUAGAGGAGGCAGGGUAGCCUAGUGGUUAGAGUGUAGAGGUGGCAGGGUAGCCUAGUGGUUAGAGUGUAGAGGUGGCAGGGUAGCCUAGUGGUUAGAGUGUAGAGGUGGCAGGGUAGCCUAGUGUUUAGAGUGUAGAGGUGGUAGGGUAGCCUAGUGGUUAGAGUCUAGGGACAGUAGGGUAGCCUAGUGGUUAGAGUGUAGAGGCGGCAGGUAGUCUAGUGGUUAGAGUGUAGAGGUGGCAGGGUAGCCUAGUGGUUAGAGUGUAGAGGAGGCAGGGUAGCCUAGUGGAUAGAGUGUAGAGGUGGCAGGGUAGCCUAGUGGUUAGAGUGUAGUGACGGCAGGUAGCCUAGUGGUUAGAGUGUAGAGGAGGCAGGGUAGCCUAGUGGUUAGAGUGUAGAGGUGGCAGGGUAGCCUAGUGGUUAGAGUGUAGAGGCGGCAGGGUAGCCUAGUGGUUAGAGUGUAGAGGAGGCAGGGUAGCCUAGUGGUUAGAGUGUAGAG